UCAAAACCAGGGGGUAAGCGCGGUGCGGUCGGCUUCACCCUUCGGGUUGGGGUCGGUUCGUGCCCCUUGCCUCCUGGCGGUUGGAUUGGUAGAAGANUUAAGA
rnacentral:rRNA from 1 species